rnacentral:rRNA from 1 species
AGUGAACGCUGGCGGUAGGCCUAACACAUGCAAGUCGAACGGCAGCACAGUAAGAGCUUGCUCUUACGGGUGGCGAGUGGCGGACGGGUGAGGAAUACAUCGGAAUCUACUUUUUCGUGGGGGAUAACGUAGGGAAACUUACGCUAAUACCGCAUACGACCUACGGGUGAAAGCAGGGGAACUUCGGACCUUGCGCGAUUGAAUGAGCCGAUGUCGGAUUAGCUAGUUGGCGGGGUAAAGGCCCACCAAGGCGACGAUCCGUAGCUGGUCUGAGAGGAUGAUCAGCCACACUGGAACUGAGACACGGUCCAGACUCCUACGGGAGGCAGCAGUGGGGAAUAUUGGACAAUGGGCGCAAGCCUGAUCCAGCCAUCCCGCGUGGGUGAAGAAGGCCUUCGGGUUGUAAAGCCCUUUUGUUGGGAAAGAAAAGCAGCAGGUUAAUACCCCGCUGUUCUGACGGUACCCAAAGAAUAAGCACCGGCUAACUUCGUG